rnacentral:lncRNA from 1 species
UCUGUCCUCACUUGGAAGAGCCCCGGCACAGACAGACAGUGGACCUGCUGAGGCAGAGGGUGCCUGGAGCAUCUGCAGCCUUUCUCGGAGCUUCCCUAAGGGGCAUAGUUUGAAAACUACUGUAGCAUGACGGUGUGGACCAAGGUCCAUCAACAAUCCUAUACUGAUUCCUGUGGCCUUCAAUAGCUUGCCUGAAAGUCCUGAUUUAUGUUGGAAAUAUGCCUUGUCUAUUAGAGGAGCUCCUGGGAUCCCUCUCAGUGAAAACCAACUUAGACUACUGUUGCAGCCGGCCGGCCGCAGCAGCUCA